rnacentral:tRNA from 1 species
UGGCUCAGUAGUUGAGAGCACUGGAUUGUUUUCCAGAGGUCAUGGGUUUGAUUCCCAG